UUCCGGUUGAUCCUGCCGGCGGCCACUGCUAUCAGGUUCCGACUAAGCCAUGCGAGUCAAGGGGCCGUAAGGCACCGGCGUACCGCUCAGUAACACGCGGAUAAUCUGCCCUCAGGUGGGGUAUAACCUCGGGAAACUGAGGCUAAUCCCCCAUAGCCAUUCUAUGCUGGAAUGCUUGAAUGGCAAAAGCUCCGGCGCCUGAGGAUGAGUCUGCGGCCUAUCAGGUAGUAUGUGGUGUAAAGGACCACAUAGCCUAGGACGGGUACGGGCCCUGAGAGGGGUAGCCCGGAGAUGGACUCUGAGACACUAGUCCAGGCCCUACGGGGCGCAGCAGGCGCGAAAACUGUGCAAUGCGCGAAAGCGCGACACGGGAAACCUGAGUGCCUUGACAAAGUCAAGGCUUUUCUUAAGCCUAAAAAGCUUAAGGAAUAAGAGCUGGGUAAGACGGGUGCCAGCCGCCGCGGUAACACCCGCAGCUCGAGUGGUGGUCACUUUUAUUGAGCCUAAAGCGUUCGUAGCCGGUCCUGUAAAUCUUCAGAAAAAUUCUCCCGCUCAACGGGAGAUCCUCUGAAGAGACUGUGGGACUAGGGACUGGGUGAGGUUGAAUGUACUUCUGGGGUAGGGGUAAAAUCCUGUAAUCCUGGAAGGACAACCGGUGGCGAAGGCGUUCAACUAGAACAGAUCCGACGGUGAGGAACGAGGGCUAGGGGAGCAAACCGGAUUAGAUACCCGGGUAGUCCUAGCUGUAAACACUGCCCACUUGGUGUUGCCUCUCCGUUGAGGGGAGGCAGUGCCGGAGCGAAGGUGUUAAGUGGGCCGCUUGGGGAGUAUGGUCGCAAGGCUGAAACUUAAAGGAAUUGGCGGGGGAGCACCGCAACGGGAGGAGCGUGCGGUUUAAUUGGAUUCAACGCCGGAAAACUCACCGGGAGCGACCUUCGGAUGAGAGUCAACCUGACGAGUUUACUCGAUAGAAGGAGAGGUGGUGCAUGGCCGUCGUCAGCUCGUACCGUAGGGCGUUCACUUAAGUGUGAUAACGAGCGAGACCC
rnacentral:rRNA from 1 species